UACAGAGGUUCCUAGCGUCGUUCGGAUUUACUGGGCGUAAAGGGUGCGUAGGUGGUGUGGUAAGUCAAAUGUGAAAUCCUACAGCUCAACUGUAGAAUUGCAUUCGAAACUGCCAUGCUCGAGUGCUGGAGGGGAGAUCGGAAUUCUCGGUGUAGCAGUGAAAUGCGUAGAUAUCGAGAGGAACACCAGUGGCGAAGGCGGAUCUCUGGACAGCUACUGACACUGAGGCACGAAAGCCAGGGGAGCAAACGGG
rnacentral:rRNA from 1 species